GGAAGCUGUGCCCGAAUCUUAAAGGAAUACUUUGAUAGAGUACAUCACAGGGGUUAAACUCCCCUCACUUCCC
rnacentral:tRNA from 1 species